NNNAGCUGUGUCUGGUCCCUCUUCCCACUUACCUUAGGGGGACCAGCUGCUGCCGCCCCCACUGCUGCUGCGUCUGCCUCAGGUUGGGUAAGGGGGCACAUGUGCAUGUGGGACACGUGUGCCUGGAUCCCUCCUCUCCUGACUGCUCCUGGCUCCCGAGGUAGUUAGCCCUGCUGGGAAGCUGGGUGCUCCCCAGGCACAGCGUGGCACUGACGUGCCGGCACUGCACCCAGUGCCUGACCCGGCACGCUGUGGCCUGACACAGGCUCUUGGAGGGGUUGGGGCUGGGGUGGGGGGACCAGACCGCGCCCCUGACCCUGGCGCCCUGUGCUGCAAUCACGGCCCCUGCCCGGCAGGGCCCGAGCAUGGAGACCCCUGCCUCCCUGGCUCCCGUCCCGCUGGGUCCUGCUCCCGCACUUCCUUCUACUUCUCCUUUGGCCGUGGUCCCGGAUUCGGGCGGGGGGGCAGGAAGAGCCUGCGGCUCCCGUUGCCAUGACGACCAGCUUUGUUUGAAACACUCCCCCAAAAUGCCAGGACUUUCCUUGAAUUCCAGCCCUGUGGCCGGGAGGAAAACUUCCUCUGUUUCCAUGGAAACCGAGGGGAGGAUUUUCCGUCCUAAACAUCUGUCUGUAAACAGUUGUGAAAGCGGAGCCCCCCCCGGCCAUGGCAGGGCCAGGGGGGAGGCACGCAGACGGGCCGGCGCUGAGAGCCCCGGCCCAGUGGCAGGCGGCCCGUGGCUCGUGGCCGUGCCCCCAGCCCAGCUGCCAGUGACGGGGUCCCACAGCCACGGACGAAAGCAGCUGCCAGGGCAGCCUUGGCGUGGCGCAGCGCUGCUGACCACAGCUCGUGCCUGGGCCGUGUCCAGCGCUCUCCUCCCCUGCCUGGGCCUGCAGGGAAGGGCCAGGCCGGGCUGGGCCGCUCUGUCUUGUCCCCGCUGUGGGGAGCCCUGGGUCCCCUGCAGAGCCUGGCCGGCUGCCCCGGUGCUGCGGCCACCGCUGCCCUGUCCAACACGGCAGGUGCGGCCGGGGCCACGUGGCGCGGGUGGAUCCAGCCCCGCGGCCUCAGGGCUGCACCUUGCUCUGGCUGCUCUCACUGCAGGGGCCAAGGGUCCGACCCGCUCGUGGUGCCCGGAGCUGCCGGUGCCUCACCCAGGCAGACAGGGGCUGGACCUCCAUCCUGCCCCAGCCCCUGCCUGGAGGGGCUGGCUCUGUGCUGGGGUGCCAGGCCCUGCCACCCAGGAGGCUGGUGGGUGCCCCACAGGGCUUGCAGC
rnacentral:lncRNA from 1 species